CGGCACAACCGAAAAUCCUUUCCUGAUCAAGGCAGUAUGAAAAUGCAAUCUUAUGUGUUCCUGAAUCUUUCCUGACCUCAUGAAGGAAUUAUCAAUGACUGAGAUGAACACUGAUGAAGUAGCCAGGACAAGAUGAAAGAGGCUGACUGUAUUCAUGGCUCACUGGGAGUUGGAUGGUGCAGGCUCUGGAAGAUCACCAACUAAGGUUGCUGAGCCUGAGAAGUCAGGAUGUGUCCUUGCAGUUCUCUGUGUUUCC